UACGGGGGGGGCAAGCGUUGUUCGGAAUUACUGGGCGUAAAGGGCUCGUAGGCGGCCAACUAAGUCAUACGUGAAAUCCCUCAGCUUAACUGGGGAACUGCGUGUGAUACUGGAUGGCUUGGAUUUGGGAGAGGGAUGCGGAAUUCCAGGUGUAGCGGUGAAAUGCGUAGAUAUCAGGAAGAACACCUAUGGCGAAGGCAGCUCUCUGGGACGGUACUGACGCUGAGACGCGAAAGCGUGGGGAGCGAACAGG
rnacentral:rRNA from 1 species